UAGUGCAGAAUCCAAGUGUAGAAGGUAACUUGACAUACAUAACAGACCUUAUGAAAUCUCAGCUUCUCUCAGAAGCUGAAGAUAUUGUGAGCUGCAACAAAGACAUAAAAAGCAAAGACAACGUCCUAGCCUUUACCAGAGCGAACGUACCAUUCCCUUGUGAUUGUAUAAAUGCAGAGUUUCAACAGCGAUCCGCCAACUAAUAUUCCUGACAGUGGGACUCUUAAUGUCACCAUUAACUGUUCCUCUGGGAACAGUGAUGUUUCCAAGGAUUAUGGAUUGUUCAUCACAUAACUGCUUAGACCUGAGGAUUCUUUCUAGUCAAUUGCCAACAAGACUGGGGUUAAGAGCGAGUUGUUGCUUGAGUACAACCCAGGAGUCAAUUUUAGCCAACUGAGUGGUCUGUUUUAUAUUCCAGGAAAAGGUCUUGCAGGUGGGGUAAUUGCUGGAAUAUCUGUUGGAGUAGUAACUGGACUUCUUCUGCUAUUGGCAUUUUACGUGUAUGUUAUAUAUUACCGAAGAAAAAUGUUAUGGGGGAAGAAAUUUCUCUCAGAAGAAUCCAGGAUGAACUCUGCUAGAGUUAAGGAUGAUGGCACAUCUUGCGUGAGCAUGCACAGGGAAUGAUCCACAUCAACGUCCAAGUAUGAGUUCUGUUGUGAUUAAUCUUACAGCCCUUACUUCAACUACUGAGGAUUGGGAUAUUGCUUCCAUCAUUGAAAAUCCAACUCUUGUAAAUCUAAUGUCUGGGAAAUAGAAGAAGGAAUGUAGAAUACAAAUGUCACCGUUUGAUUCUUUUGUUGCUAAACAAAUUUGUAAUAAUUCCAAUGCAUUUCCCAUCAAACUCAAUUUGCAAUUAAGUGAUUGUUUGUAUCAGUGAACAAACUCUGUUUUCUCACUGAUUAUUUCUUGCUUUGGGAAAAAUUGCAUGGAAAAUCAUGUUUUUGCCUUGUAACAACUUUCUCUGUUGCACUU